AGGACGAACGCUGGCGGCGUGCCUAAUACAUGCAAGUCGAACGAGACUUUCCUCGGUGGUAACACCUUUGAUUGUCUAGUGGCGAACGGGUGAGUAACACGUGAGAAACCUGCCCUGAAGACGGGGAUAACAGGAGGAAACUUCUGCUAAUACCCGAUACCCCCACCGGAUCGCAUGGUCUGGUGAGGAAAUGGAUUCCGCUUCAGGAGGGUCUCGCGGCCUAUCAGCUUGUUGGUGAGGUAACGGCUUACCAAGGCUUGGACGGGUAGCUGGUCUGAGAGGACGAUCAGCCACACUGGGACUGAGACACGGCCCAGACUCCUACGGGAGGCAGCAGUAAGGAAUAUUGCGCAAUGGGCGAAAGCCUGACGCAGCAACGCGCGUGCGGGAUGAAGGCCCUCGGGUUGUAAACCGCUUUCAGUAGGGAAGAAAAUGACGGUACCUACAGAAGAAGCCCCGGCAACUACGUGCCAGCAGCCGC
rnacentral:rRNA from 1 species